AAUACAUAUCGCUCAUUUACUUCAACAGUGUCAUAACUCAAAAAACUGAUUUUUUGAGUUAAAUACAAAAAAAUGUGCUCAAUAUCAUGGUUAAUAUUGUAUAAAAAAUUCUGUGUGAUUAGUAGAAAAUUGAACGCGUGAGAUGAAAAAGUGCCGUUAUUCCACUUGUUGUGACGCGUCAAAUUUUUGCUACAGCAUCGACACAUUUCAAUUUAACAUGAGUCGUCGUCGUGUAAAGAUUAUUAGUUUUUCCGAAAAAAACGAUAUAUUUUGUGUUACAGCGAUUUAUGUGAAAAGCUUACUUGGAAAUGUCAUUAUCCAAAAAUAAUUGCGGAUCUUCUACAUCAUUGUUCUCAGAAGAUAGUGACAAUUCCAUAGUUGAUGUGACAUACUUCCCAGUUUCUGCUAACGAUUCCAGUGAUAGUGUCUACGGCAAUGAUGAAGAUAACCCACCACAUCCGACCGCGGUAAACAGCAUAAUUUAUGAUAACUGCUUCGAGGAAGAUUCUCCAGAUCUAGAAUUAUGUACGCCAGUACCUGAACAAAACUCCUUUGAUCUGCAACCAAGCACAUCAACUUCAAACAUAAACAAUUCUUCCACCAUUCUUGUUAGUCCGGCGAUGAAAAAAAAAAGAGGAAGCAGCCAGAAAAUUGGAAGAAAAAUAUGUAUUGUAAAAAAAAAGAGAAAUAGUGCUGAACACUAUGAAAGCUUAAAAAAAUUAUUCGAAACAAAAGAGAAAUUAAACCUCCGUGCGGUGAAAACUGUCGGUAUAAAUGUUCAAAUAUAUUUAGCGAAGAGUAGAGAAAAGAGAUAUUUUCCUCAUAUUGGGCUCUGGGCGACAUUGAGAAGCAGAGGCAAUUUAUUUCCAAUUGUAUGAAACUCGUUGACACCACUGACUCAUUCAUUACUACAAUUCGAUCAGCUAAGAAAACAGGCCACCCAUUCUUAGUGCAAGAAGUGUCUUAUGGAGAUUUCUUUGACCUCAAAUUACUCUCUAAUGACAUGGGUCCAUUGAAUAUGGGAGAAAUUUAACUCUCUCAAGUGAAAAUCCUGAAGGUUCAACGAGAGUCACCCAACUCUGUGCUUUUCAAAUCAUCAUACGCCGAGGAGAAGUUCAGGGAAGCCACUAUAAUCAAAUCCAAGAAGAAACAUAGCACACCGAUUGAUUUACAAAAAGCCUACCACUCCAAAAUCGAAAUUCCUAAUAAUAAAAGACAAGAUAUCAACGAAUUAAUUAAAAAGAACUUGAUUCCACGCUUUUAUCAAGAAUUUUAUAACAAUUUGUGAUUCAAUCAUAUAUGUAUUUCCACUAUUUACUAAUUAUUUCUACUAUUUUUAAAAACUGAAAAUUAAUUUCAUAUAAAAAUAUGUUUUGAUGCUAUGAAUUUUUGUAUUUUAUUUUUUUUACGUUAAAAACCCCCGAAAAUAAAAUGUCUAAAUGUAUAAAUUUCGCCCAUUAUUCAUAAAAAAUAAAUAUAAAGCUCCUAUAAAUGGAAAUUCAGCUGGAAAUGUCAUUUUAAAAAACUUUAUAAACCAUUUUUAUUGAUUAUGAAUAUGGGGGUUUGUAUUUUAUUUCUCAACAAUAAUGACACAUUUAGUUUAUAACCGAGAAAUUUCUAUGUUUUUUCAGAAACAAUGACAUAAUUCAAAGCAGAAAAGUUUUUGUUCAAGAAAAAAUUGGGAAAUCAUUAAUUUCGGUCGAAUUUCUUCUAUAAUGUAUACUACACAUGACAUAUCACUAGUUUGCAUAGAAAAUCUGCGAUCUUAACUUUUAUUUAACCCACAAAAGAAAGCUAAAAACUAAAAAUUGCUCUCCUGAAAAAAUGCGUUUUUUGAGUUA